UGGGGAAUAUUGGGCAAUGGGCGAAAGCCUGACCCAGCAACGCCGCGUGAGGGAAGAAGGCUUUCGGGUUGUAAACCUCUGUCGCAGGGGACGAGAGAAAUGACGGUACCCUGUGAGGAAGCCCCGGCUAACUACGUGCCAGCAGCCGCGGUAAUACGUAGGGGGCGAGCGUUGUCCGGAAUUACUGGGCGUAAAGGGUGCGUAGGCGGCAAUUUAAGUUGGAUGUGAAAUCCCCGGGCUUAACCUGGGUGGUGCAUCCAAAACUGAAUAGCUAGAGUGCAGGAGAGGGAAGCGGAAUUCCUAGUGUAGCGGUGAAAUGCGUAGAUAUUAGGAGGAACACCAGUGGCGAAGGCGGCUUUCUGGACUGUAACUGACGCUGAGGCACGAAAGCGUGGGGAGCAAACA
rnacentral:rRNA from 1 species